UACAGAGGUCCCAAGCGUUGUUCGGAUUCAUUGGGCGUAAAGGGUGUGUAGGUGGCGCGGUAAGUCGGGUGUGAAAUCUCGGAGCUUAACUCCGAAACUGCAUUCGAUACUGCCGUGCUUGAGGACUGGAGAGGAGACUGGAAUUUACGGUGUAGCGGUGAAAUGCGUAGAUAUCGUAAGGAAGACCAGUGGCGAAGGCGGGUCUCUGGACAGUUCCUGACGUGAGGCACGAAGGUCAGGGGAGCAAACGGGAUUAGAACCGUACCU
rnacentral:rRNA from 1 species